AUGCCUGCAUGUGGAGGGUAAAAAGAAUCACUCCUCUCCGAUUUGACCGCCACAAACGAAACAUAUCAAACCCAUGAACACACUAACUUAUAUGCUCAUCCCUAUAAGUUGGACAACGAUUCAACGAAUCCACCAUUUUCAGCCCAAUAAACGUCUCACAGUUGGUGAUUCGAUCGACAUGGACGAGUCAACCGUGGAGGAGCCACUGCUCGCCGUCCGACGCGGCGGAGAUGGCGAGGACGGAGCCAUGGCGUCGACGGCGGCGGAGGUGAAGAGGCUGCUGCGUCUCGCUGGGCCUCUGAUGGCCGGCUUCGUGCUGCGGAACUCGGUCCAGAUGGUGUCCGUCAUGUUCGUCGGCCACCUCGGCGAGCUCCAGCUCGCCGGUUCCUCCCUCGCCGCGUCGCUCGCCAGCGUCACCGGCUUCAGCCUCCUCUCCGGCAUGUCGAGCGCGCUGGACACGCUGUGCGGGCAGGCGUACGGCGCGGGGCAGCACCGGCUGCUCGGCGUCUACGCGCAGCGCGCCAUGCUGGUGCUCGCGGCGGCCGCCGUCCCCAUCGCGCUCGUCUGGGCCAGCGCCGGCGAGAUCCUCCUCCUCUUCGGGCAGGACCCGGCCAUCGCGGCCGAGGCUGGCGCGUACGCGCGGUGGAUGAUCCCGUCGCUCGCGGCCUACGUGCCGCUCGCCUGCGCCCUCCGGUUCCUGCAGGCGCAGGGCAUCGUCGUGCCGGUGAUGGCGAGCUCCGGCGUGGCGGCGGUCGCCCACGUUGCCGUGUGCUGGGCGCUGGUGCACAAGGCCGGCAUGGGGAGCAAGGGCGCUGCGCUGAGCGGUGCCGUGACGUACUGGACCAACUUCGCCGUCCUCGCCUUCUACGCGCGGCUGUCCGGCGCCUGCAAGACGACGUGGACCGGGUUCUCCAUGAACGCCUUCAGGGAGCUCCGCCGGUUCACCGAGCUCGCCGUGCCGUCCGCCAUGAUGGUCUGCUUGGAGUGGUCGUCGUUUGAGAUACUUGUGCUGCUCUCUGGCAUUCUGCCGAAUCCUCAGCUUGAAACUGCUGUUCUGUCAAUCAGCUUGAGCACUGCUUCUCUCCUGAUCAUGGUGCCACGUGGCAUUGGCUCAUCUUUAAGCACACGCGUCUCGAACGAACUAGGUGGCGGGCAUCCUCGAGCAGCAAGGAUGGCAGUGCGAGUGGCCACAGCCAUGACAGUGCUUGUAUGCCUCGUGCUAGUGAUAGCCAUGAUUCUGCUGCGCAAUGUCUGGGGAUACGCCUACAGCAACGAGGAGGAAGUGGUGGCAUACAUUGCAAGUAUGCUCCCCAUCCUCGCGGUCUCCUUCUUCGUAGAUGGCAUCAAUGGUGCUCUUUCAGGAGUUUUGACAGGAUGUGGUAAGCAGAAGAUUGGCGCUCAUGUGAAUCUUGGCGCGUUUUACUUGGUUGGUAUUCCGACGGCUGUGCUUCUUGCAUUUGUCCUCCAUCUAAAUGGAGAGGGUCUUUGGCUUGGCAUUGUGUGUGGCAGUAUCAGUAAAGUAGGGAUGCUCCUCUUCAUCACACUGCAUACAGAUUGGGGAAAAGAAGUGCAAAAAGCUUCACCCUGCAAACACUUCGGUUUGUAUCAUGUAUUCAGUGGAACUUCGGUUUAAUUUUGUUUCGUUUGUCCAAUUUUCAGGUUAUCAUGCCGAAAGAAAGGGUCUUCAGUUCAAGUAUUCCAACUCGAUGAAGAAUUCGAGAAAUGUUAUCAUGGCGAAAGAAAGGGUCUUCGGUUCAAGUAUUCCAACUCGAUGAAGAAUUCGAGAAAUGUAGGUGUAGAUUUCUCCAAUGAAGAUGUACUCAACGUAGUUCUUUAAUAAGAGUAAGUGUGUUGCAAGCGGUUAUCUAGCAUAAAAAAGAAUUAUUAGCUCUCUCGCUCGCGAACAAAUUUCCUGCCUCAAAAUAGCUGAAUUGAGGUUCUUCAUCUUCAAAAUUUCGAAAUCAAUUCUCUAUUAAUCGACUAUUAUAGUUGAAUUGUAAAGUCACAGAUGUCACUAUACUCUAUACUAUCAAACAUAAUUUCAGUCAUUUGAAUUGAAUUUGAAAAAAGAGAAAAUGUAUACAAAAGGACAUCCACUCAA